rnacentral:rRNA from 1 species
UACGGGGGGGGCAAGCGUUGUUCGGAAUUACUGGGCGUAAAGGGCUCGUAGGCGGCCAACUAAGUCAGACGUGAAAUCCCUCAGCUUAACUGGGGAACUGCGUCUGAUACUGGAUGGCUUGGAUCCGGGAGAGGGAUGCGGAAUUCCAGGUGUAGCGGUGAAAUGCGUAGAUAUCGGGAGGAACACCAGUGGCGAAGGCGGCUUCCUGGACCGGUUCUGACACUGAGGAGCGAAAGCGUGGGGAGCGAUCCGG